UGGCCAUGCGUCUAGAUUGGUAAAUAGUUUACUAAUAAGGCUUACUUUCGUAAAAAAUCCUAUAUUAGGUAUCACUAAGUUGUAACACUUAAUUUAUGCUCAAUCCUUUUUAUUUUUUUUCCUUAUUAAAUAUUUUUUUUCUUCUAAUCUCAUUGUAGAAAAAAAUGAGCGGUACCCUUUAUUUUUCAUUUUUUUGAACAUCUCAUUCUAAUCUAUCUCCUCCUCUCAUUCUUGCUCAAAUACCCAUUCUCUCUCUGAAUGAGUUUAGAUUAUACAAUCAAUGGAGUCGCCUUCAUUAUUAACAGCGUCAUCCCCUGAAUCAAUCAUCAUCAUCGAUAAAUACCAUCAUCUGAAUCACAGGCAACAUCAUCAAAUGAAUCGAGAGUUCGAGAGCGAAGGAAUAAUAGCAUACGGGUUUCAUUCGUCACAAAUUCGCCAUCUGGGGUUUCAAUUGUCACAAAAUCACAAAUCCAGUUGAAUUAUUCAUCUCUGAUUUCAUCUAAUUUUCGCUUCCAAUCAGAUCGAUGAAUUCAGCAGUCUUGGCGAGGCAGCAGCUGCAAGCUUAAAUCCCCACCCUAGCUAUAGCUAGCAUUUGAAUGAAGUAGAACUAGGGAAGAGGUGAAUCAGAUUCUAGCCAACAUUGGUGUUUCAGAUUGGUAUUCUUAUCAAUGUGCCUACUAUUUGAAAUUACUUUUACAAUCUUCUACAUAUGUGAUAACAUAAUUUUCUUGUACUUGUUAGAAAUAUAUAUUCUGAUAAAGUACGAACAAAAUUUCAAUAAGACUUUUCCAGAUUUUAAACUAUAGGAAUGUCUUGGUGGUAGUGGCCUUUCUCUUCCAGAAUUCCAUGGACUCAUAAAGAAACUUUAAGUUACUGAGAGGAAGAUAUCACAGGGAAAAGUAUACAGAUAAAAUAUCACAAUACUAGCUACUACACACCUUACAAACAUGAUUAGAAAUUUUGGCCAUAUAUUAAGAAAGUAAUAAAACAAUGCAAUUUAAUAAUAAGCUAAAAAGUGUCACCUGAUUGUGUAAUGCCCAACAGCUCACUCUCUAGCAUUUGACUUUCUUUCAUCCUUCAGGUUUGGCCACUAAGGUUGUACUCAUUCAGAUCAUCUCCUUUCUUACCUACAUUGAUAGGAAACAAUUACCAUUUUCUAGCAUGUUCAUUUAACUGCCGAGGGGCAAUCUGAACUAUUAUAUAAGUGCUUUUUUUCUUUUUCUUUUAUUUUUCUAUUUGAACUUGUUAUGUUAUGAUUUUUGUAAGUUAGUGGUUAAGUGUAGUGUAACAAAAUUUACUCUGACCUCUAUUUUGCAAGUCAAAUUUUCAAGGUCUCAUAUUUUAUAUAGUGACAAAGUUUACAUUUGGCAGUUUUGAGCUGAGUGGUUUUAAGGUGCUUGGGCAGCAGGCGACUUGUGCCGGCUUCAAUUCACUAAGAAUCUGGAGAAAAUCAGGGGGAAGGAAGUGCUAGCUGCAAACACAGAAGAAAUUGUUCGUGUAGAGUCUAGUUCAGUUGUUCAAUCCCAGUUUGUGGACACGAAAAUGGUCUCUUAUCCCAGAAUAGCUGUUGAAACUCAGAAAAAUAGAUUUUCCACUGUGAUAAGUGCCGCACUUGCAACUACGGCUGCAGUUAGCACAAGUACUCCCAAUGUUUUUUCUAGCUAGCUAGCUGCUGCUAUGUGCUAUUGUUACUAUUGUUUGCUGCAACUGCGCUGACUGUUUUUUAGAGAUUAAAGGUCUAAAAGAGACUAAAGUUCACUUUCUUUUUAUUUUGAUUAUUAGAUUGUUUAGCGAAUAAAAAAAUUGGUGUUUAUGGAUGUUUUUUGUAAGAACUAUGAAAUUAAUUAUUUCAAUUCAAAUUAUUGACUAU